rnacentral:ncRNA from 1 species
AAUUUUUUUAUGAAAAAGGGGGCAUAAGAGCCGGGAAAAUUUUAUAAAAUUUGUAUUAAAACUUUGGACAUGAUUAGGAAAUUCCAAAUUUAUUAAUAAUCAAAAUAUUUAUUUUUAGUACCAUUUCCUUGGGUCACAUGGCUUUUUGACAAUUUUUAGGCUUUUGGGAGGGGUUGGAAUGUUUUUUUGAUUUUGGGUUAGAAAUGCUUGCUUUUUCUUUUUAUUGGACAUAAUAUACAAUAUUUUAGAAAAAAGUUUUUCCAGAUUUCUUUUUGUUUAAUAUAAAGUUUUUCCUUGGUGGGAGUGGAACGUUGAGGUCCGUGUUGUAAUUUUAGUUUUUUCGUAAAUCUACAUGUAAGUUAGCGCUAGUAAUUUAGCAAAGGUAAAAUAGAGAAGGAGAUUCUCAGUAGAAAAUUUUGGAAAUAUAUAAAAAUUUUAUCCAGAUAACGAGAGAGGGGUGGAAAAUGGCGUGCCAGCAGCCGCGGUUAUACUUCAGCCUCAAGCUAAAAUUUUUGUACAAAAUUGUGCUUUGUUGGUGUUACUAGGUUUUAUUUGAGUUGUAGAGUAGAAUCUAAACUUGAAGAAAUGAUAGAAAAAAAGAAGCAUGAAAUUUAUUAUAGGGACCAGGAUUAGAUACCCUGUUACUUUUAAUUAAGAGGUUUUGGAAUAAUAGUAUUAAUGAAAUUUAACGGAUUUGGCGGCAAGAUAGCCCCUUAGAGGAACCUGCCCUGUAAACGAUGAACCACGAGGGACGUAACUUUCUUUGGUAAUCAGUUUGUAUACCGCUGUUGUCAGUUAGAUUCUUGAGAAUAUUUUCGUUUAUGAUAAUUUCAUUGACUUCAAGUAAAGGUGCAGCUUAUGUGAAAGGUAGAGGUGGGUUACAUUUAUAAGAAUAAAACGGAUAAGAUAAAUGAAAGGAUCUUUGAAGGUGGAUUUAACUGUAAAACUUAAGUAGGUUUGGUGAGAGCUCUAUCUUGUGUACACACCGCCCGUCGCUCUCUUUUUUAAAACGAGAUAAGUCGUAACAAGGUAAGUGUAAUGGAAAUUGUACUUGA